UGGUGGGGAAGGAAGAGAGAAGGCCAGGAGGGGAGAGGAAAUUACUUCAUGGGCUCAUUUGUAUUGUGUUUCCUCGACUGCCAAUGAAAGGAAAGGGAUUAUGUUCCCAUGCUUUGGAGGACCAUGACAACUGGGCCAUCAGGAGGACGCUCUGUGCCGGACUAAAGCUGAACUGAAGGGGCAGGACUGGCUGCCGGAAAUCAAGGGGAUAAAAAAAGCAAAAAUGGAAAGAGCGCCGAAGAAGUUUGUAACAAGUCUCUGACACAUCUCCUGAAGAAUCCCAGCCCAUUCUUCUUUGGCAAAUCCUUCCAAGCUCCUCCAGAUUUGAUGGUCUUCUGGCAUGGACCCUGGUCUUCAGUUCACCCCACAGAGUUUCGAUGGGAUUCAAGUCAGGACUUUGUGCAGGCCAGUCAAUAACAUUGUGUGGCGUGGUCCUUGCUAGUGAAUAUAAGAGCAGCCAGGGGACUAGUUGUCACCUAUACCAAUACCUGUAGCACUUUGUUGUGAGAUGCGGUACUAUACUCCACAUAUCAGUGUAGCUGGAUAAACAUGCUAAGUGUUUUUGAAAUUUCAAGAGUAUAACAAUUCCCUGUGUACUAUUGAAAGGAGAAGAUACUAGCAACUCCCAAAUGUUUCAACAAUUUCAGUUCAAUGUUGGACCACUUUAUUUUGCAUUAUGUGUCAGAACUUUACUGUACCAAGCAGUGCCUUUCAAUAAACUCACUUCUUCAUAUUCAUA